GAGAGGUGGUGCAUGGCCGUCGUCAGUUCGUACUGUGAAGCAUCCUGUUAAGUCAGGCAACGAGCGAGACCCACGCCCACAGUUGCCAGCGUACUCUCCGGAGUGACGGGUACACUGUGGGGACCGCCGCUGCUAAAGCGGAGGAAGGAAUGGGCAACGGUAGGUCAGUAUGCCCCGAAUAUCCCGGGCUACACGCGAGCUACAAUGGUUGGUACAAUGGGUAUCUACCCCGAAAGGGGAUGGAAAUCUCCUAAAGCCAAUCUUAGUUCGGAUUGAGGGCUGCAACUCGCCCUCAUGAAGCUGGAAUCCGUAGUAAUCGCGUUUCAACAGAACGCGGUGAAUACGUCCCUGCU
rnacentral:rRNA from 1 species